GAAGUGAAAAGAUCGAAGCUUGCUGCACCAGAGGUGAAAAUUUUGCUCCUGCGGAAAAAAAGAUCCUGAUUAGUUUUGCGGAAAAGUAGCUCCGUUUCUCGGUUAGGUUUAGAUUUAAGUGAACGGAAAUCGCAUCUGGUCGGGGGAAUCGUAACCACAACGAAUGGUAUCCACAAUGUGCGGAGGAUUUAGCUGCUCGAAAAAUGCAUUGAUUGCACUGAACAUCCUCUAUGUCAUGGUCGGCUUUCUGCUGAUCGGAGUCGGAGUGUAUGGACGGGCUUCUUCCAUCGUAACGAAUCUACCGAUAAUCGGAGGGAUUCUGGCCUGUGGCGUAAUUCUGAUCCUGAUUUCCGUUCUUGGACUGAUUGGAGCGGUCAAACAUCACCAGGUUAUGCUGUUCUUCUACAUGAUAAUCCUGUUCAUGUUGUUCCUAAUUCAAUUUUCGAUUGCCUGCUCCUGUUUGGCUGUUAACGGAGAACAGCAGCGUCAAUUUGCCGAACAGGGUUGGUCUCUGGCCCCAGUUGAUAUCAAGCAGCAGGUACAGGACGAAUUUGUCUGCUGUGGGUUCAACUCGACGGCCACCGACGAUCAUCCUUCCUGUGCGAAGGUCAACACUCUGUGCUGCUCAACGGAUGCCCCGGAGAACUGCCAGUGUCCUCCCUGCAUGCCCAAGCUCGAGAGUACCAUCGACUAUGCGUUCCGUUUGUCUGGCGGAAUCGGGUUAUUCUUCAGCUUCACCGAGUUUAUCGGUGUCUGGCUGACCGUGCGCUACCGCAACCAAAAAGAUCCCCGCGGCAAUCCGAGUGCUUUCCUCUAAGAUUGGGACGAUCCCGUAACGGAGCUUUAAGUGGUUCAGUUCGAUUAGACUUCAGCUAAGUUUUUUUCUACCUCGGUUCCAAUCGAAUUCAAGCAAAAUGCGCGCUUCUUUCUGGAAAAGUUAUACCCAAAACCAUAAAAGUUGAAAAUCGAACAAGGAGAAUCGUAUCGAAAGCAUUCCAUAUGUACAACCAUGAUUAUUGCCGUGUUUUUGACCCGCCGCUACCGCAAUCAGCAGGAUCCGGACCAUCUACCGGCGCGGGCUAUCUUCCCCCAAAGCAACUACGUCUACUGAGUUGAGUGAAUAAGAUCCAAAAACAAAAAACAGUUGUUAGUUCAUCUACUCACCGGUAGAUGCCAUCUAGAGCGGUGAUGGUGUUUUUUCUUCAAAGAAUAACUCGCUGAAAACCCAAAAAAAAACAUAGAAGAGAAUAGAGAACACAAACAUCUUCAGCAAAACGAACGGGGAAAUGUUUGUGUCCGAACUGAACAAUACUCAUAGUUUACAGUUUACUUCUGGUCGAAUUUAUAGGAACCCAAACGAAAAAAAACUAGGAAACAAGAAAAAAAUGGUUGUGCUACUUUGUAUAAUGGAUUCGGAAAGUUUAGUGAAUUUUUGUUUACUUUUUCAAAUAUGGAACGAGUAGGCCCCAUUAUUUUCGGGAAAUCAAUAUCAGUUUAGUUUUGGUUAAGUUGUGCUUUAGCUUCUGAAUUGCUAAAUCGUUUGUUUUAAAAAUAUUGACUUGAAUCGAUUGCUAUUAAUCUUAACUACUAAGUAUAUUGUUUAAAAAAUAUACCCUUUGAAUCUACUUUAUGUCGUCUUGAAAACAACUUUUGGAAAAAAAAAACAUAAAAUAACAUUUAACUUUUUCUUACUAGUGGAAGAUAGAUGGCGCAUUGCUUUUCCUCUGCUCAUCGGUAGAAAUUUGAUCACUAAUUUAACAAAACAUACACACACUUGCAAACCGGUAUCACCUUUGGCUGCCUCGUGUAUACGUAAAAACUCUAAUUAAACUAAACACAAUCUUUUUCGAAACACCGUUGAGCAAAGACCAAUCGCUAGAAGAGCAAAAAAAAGUCUUAAUACCUAUUAUGAAGAACAAUGUAAAAAUUGAAACUAAAUGCAGCUGGCUUUAUUGUUUGUGAUAGUAUAGGUAAAAUUCGAUAUAAACUAAAGAAGAAAAAAAAAAACAUACACACACGUAGUUAUUUUUAAGCUUUAAAAAUCGGAUUUAUUUUGCUCAACCUGAAGUUUGUUUUAUUUUUCUGCUUAGUUCGUUUGAACAAAUCCUGCAUCACUAUUUAUUCUAGCACUGAGAUCCCCUCCCCUUCAAAGUAAAAAGAAUCUCCUAUGCAAAAACAGCAACUUAUUCCGUUUCCGUUUUUCCUUUCUAUUGUAUGUCUGCUAUUAGAGAUUACUGUUGUUACGAGUCAGGAAACAAUUUACACUUAAUAAAUGUGCGAUCAACCCGCGUAAUAGUCAUUUAAAAAAACCCUAAGGCAGAAAAAAAGAUCUCUCUCUAGCGCGGGCGUAAAAAUAAUGGAGGCAAAGAACUGUGCUAGAUUAAAAAAAUAUCUAUAAAACAUAAAUUGUAUGAAUAAAAUUAAAAAAAAAAAAUAAAUAAAAAAAACCGGAUACAACAUCAAGCUAAGCGUAGUGAAUCGUAAAGUAAAACAACUUACUAAGUAUAGCUACGAUCUACAAUUGUAAUCUAUCUGUAAUAGUUUACCAGCUGAUCGAAUUUGAGUUUCUACUUAUAAAAACUACAUUUAACCAUGGGAAGUGUGAUGCAUUGAAUAAAAUAUGUAAUAAAAAAAUAUAUUCUAUAUAUACACCCAAAAAACUCACUCACACUGAUUAGGUGUAAGCCAGUAAAAAAUCAA